CGAUGGACUAGUUUCAUUGAGAUAGUGGCAAACGGGUGAGUAACGCGUGGGAAUGUACCCUUCAGAUUGGGAUAACGUUUGGAAACGAGCGCUAAUACCAAAUACACCGGAGACGGGAAAGGAAAUUUGCUGAGGGAGCGGCCCGCGUUAGAUUAGGUAGUUGGUGGGGUAAAGGCCUACCAAGCCGAUGAUCUAUAGCUGGUCUGAGAGGACGACCAGCCACACUGGGACUGAGACACGGCCCAGACUCCUACGGGAGGCAGCAGUC
rnacentral:rRNA from 1 species